GUCAGCAGUGAUAUCGCCCUGCAGCUCACAGCUCACAGCUGGCAGCCCACUGAAGCCCAGCAGGUGUGAGCCUGGCCAGUACCUGGAUGGGAGACCACCUGGGAAAAACUAAGGCUGCUGCUGGAA
rnacentral:rRNA from 1 species